rnacentral:rRNA from 1 species
UACGAAGGGGGCUAGCGUUGCUCGGAAUCACUGGGCGUAAAGCGCACGUAGGCGGGUCCUUAAGUCAGGGGUGAAAUCCCGGAGCUCAACUCCGGAACUGCCUUUGAUACUGGGGAUCUUGAGUCCGGAAGAGGUGAGUGGAACUCCGAGUGUAGAAGGUGAAAUUCGUAGAUAUUCGCAAGAACACCAGUGGCGAAGGCGGCUCACUGGCCCAUAACUGACGCUGAGGCACGAAAG